rnacentral:rRNA from 1 species
UACAGAGGGGGCAAGCGUUAAUCGGAAUUACUGGGCGUAAAGCGUGCGCAGGCGGUGAUGUAAGACAGGUGUGAAAUCCCCGGGCUUAACCUGGGAACUGCAUUUGUGACUGCAUCGCUGGAGUGCGGCAGAGGGGGAUGGAAUUCCGCGUGUAGCAGUGAAAUGCGUAGAUAUGCGGAGGAACACCGAUGGCGAAGGCAAUCCCCUGGGCCUGCACUGACGCACAUGCACGAAAGCGUGGGGAGCAAACAGG